UGGGGAAUAUUGGGCAAUGGGCGCAAGCCUGACCCAGCAACGCCGCGUGGAGGAAGAAGGCUUUCGGGUUGUAAACUUCUUUUGUCAGGGACGAGGAGAAGACGGUACCUGACGAAUAAGCCACGGCUAACUACGUGCCAGCAGCCGCGGUAAUACGUAGGUGGCAAGCGUUGUCCGGAUUUACUGGGUGUAAGGGGAGCGCAGGCGGAAGGACAAGUUGGAAGUGAAACCCACGGGCUCAACCCGUGAACUGCUUUCAAAACUGUUUUUCUUGAGUGGUGUAGAGGUAGGCGGAAUUCCCGGUGUAGCGGUGGAAUGCGUAGAUAUCGGGAGGAACACCAGUGGCGAAGGCGGCCUACUGGGCACUAACUGACGCUGAGGCUCGAAAGCAUGGGUAGC
rnacentral:rRNA from 1 species